UCUGAGGAUAUGCGUGACAGAUAAGAAGGGCUGGUGGGCUCAGUCCCGGUGGUAGCUCAGGAAGCAGAGCCUGGAGCAUCUCCACUAUGGCCUGGGCUCCACUACUUCUCACCCUCCUCGCUCACUGCACAGGUUCUUGGGCCAAUUUUAUGCUGACUCAGCCCCACUCUGUGUCUGGGUCUGUGGGACAGAAAGUCGUCAUCUCCUGCACCCGCAGCAGUGGCAGCAUUGGGAGCUACUACGUGCAGUGGUACCAGCAGCGCUCAGGCAGUGCCCCCACCACAGUGAUUUACAAAGAUAACCAAAGACCCACGGGGGUCCCUGAUCGGUUCUCUGGCUCCAUCGACAGCUCCUCCAACUCUGCCUCCCUCACCAUCUCUGGGCUGGAGACUGAGGACGAGGCUGACUACUACUGUCAGUCUUAUGAUAGCAGUAAUCGCACAGUGCUCCAGACCCAUGGGGAAGUGAGAAAGAAACUCCCCAGAGCAUCUCUACCUGGGCCAGUCUCAGCCUGUCUCCAGCGGGGAGGGUAGCUCUCCCAUCUCUCCUGCCUAAGUGCUUGAGGUCAGCUUUGCUUAUGACUACCUCUUUUCCUUUCCAAAAUACCAAUCUGUUCUUCCACA